rnacentral:rRNA from 1 species
CCUACGGGUGGCUGCAGUGGGGAAUAUUGGACAAUGGGGGGAACCCUGAUCCAGCGACGCCGCGUGAGUGAAGAAGUAUUUCGGUAUGUAAAGCUCUAUCAGCAGGGAAGAAAAUGACGGUACCUGACUCAGAAGCCCCGGCUAACUACAUGCCAGCAGCCGCGGUAAUACGUAGGGGGCCAGCGUUAUCCGGAUUUACGUGGUGUAAAGGGAGCGUAGACGGUGCAGGCAGUCUGAUGUGAAAGGUAGGGGCCCAACCCCGGGACUGCAUGUGAAACUGUUGAACUGGAGUACAGGAGAGGUAAGCGGAAUGCCUAGUGUAGCGGUGAAAUGCGGAGAUAUUAGGAGGAACACCAGUGGCGAAGGCGGCUUACUGGACUGUAACUGACGUUGAGGCUCGAAAGCGUGGGGAGCAAACAGGAUUAGAUACCCCUGUAGUC